AACGAACGCUGGCGGCAUGCCUAACACAUGCAAGUCGAACGAGACCUUCGGGUCUAGUGGCGCACGGGUGCGUAACGCGUGGGAAUCUGCCCUUAGGUUCGGAAUAACAGUUAGAAAUGACUGCUAAAUACCGGGAUAAAUGACUUCGGUCCAAAGAUUUAUCGCCUAAGGAUGAGCCCGCGUAGGAUUAGCUAGUUGGUGAGGUAAAGGCUCACCAAGGCUACGAUCCUUAGCUGGUCUGAGAGGAUGAUCAGCCACACUGGGACUGAGACACGGCCCAGACUCCUACGGGAGGCAGCAGUGGGGAAUAUUGGACAAUGGGCGAAAGGCCUGAUCCAGCAAGUGACCGCGUGAGUGAUGAAGGCCUUAGGGUUGUAAAGCUCUUUACCCGGGAUGAUAAUGACAGUACCGGAGAAUAAG
rnacentral:rRNA from 1 species